rnacentral:lncRNA from 1 species
GAACUCCCUGGCGGGGGGAGGCUGAGCGGGAGGAGAUCCCGUCCCCGCGGGGCGCGUCCGGGAUUGGAAAGCUGCCUCUGAGACUCUGAAGGUUUACCUGCUGAUACUCGCUCCUUCCCAGUAACCCUCCAUCCCAAGGGGAGCCCCAGAAAGAACACCAGGGGGGCCUCCCUGCUGCCGCAGAACCACCUCACCCGCCACUCCAGCACUAAGUCAGAGCUGCCUGAGGAAGACUCCGCACACGUUUCCCUCGAGCUGGUCUGCAGGCCCCUCUGGCUGGGACCCUGUCCUGGGAGCUGCCCGUCUGCAAACAGAGAGCCCACAGUGCCUCGGGAAAAAUUGGCUGAAUAAAAGAUGCGUUGGAGGGAAGGACAGGAGAUACAGGAACGAGGAUGGAGCAGAGCAAGAUGGGGUUGAAGGAGCGUCCACAGAAGCUUCUGUGCAGGCCAGGCUGAGAGGUCACUACCCAGAAGGCUGAGGGUCCCCGAUGCUGGCCGGGCUCCAGAGACUCCUGAACUUGUGGAUGUGGAGUUUUUCCUCCUCCAGUUUUGUGAUGAAUAAAUUCACUUGUCUCCCCA